rnacentral:Y_RNA from 1 species
GGCUGGUCCGAAGGUAGUGAGUUAUCUCAUUUGAUUGUUAACAGUCAGUUACAGAUUGAACUCCUUGUUCUACUACUUUCCCCUUCCUCACUACUGCACUUGACUAGUCUUAA